rnacentral:lncRNA from 1 species
CAACUCUGAUUCUAUCACAAAACACUGCACCCAAGGCAACCAGGCAGCUUCCAAAGACCUCAUUCUCCUAAACACAUCCAUUCCUGUUGCUGGCAGAACUUUUGCAAACCCAUCCCAGUUGGAUGCAGCAUCAUCAGGGGGUGAUUACCCCCGAUUGCCAAAGAGGUUUCCAGCGCUGGAAGGAAAUUUGGAGAUCAAGGCUGAGUUGGCCUCAGCCAAGUGAAAUGGGAAUCAGGACCAUUACGAAGAAAUUCAAUUAAAAUAAAAGGCACAUCAUAAAUUUUGACUGG